rnacentral:rRNA from 1 species
AGCGAACGCUGGCGGCAGGCCUAACACAUGCAAGUCGAACGGAUCCUUCGGGAUUAGUGGUGGACGGGUGAGUAACACGUGGGAUCGUGCCCAUUGGUUCGGAACAACUCAGGGAAACUUGAGCUAAUACCGGAUGUGCCCUUCCGGGGAAAGAUUUAUCGCCAUUGGAGCGGCCCGCGUCCGCUUAGCUAGUUGGUGAGGUAACGGCCCACCAAGGUGUCGAUCAGUAGCUGGUCUGAGAGGAAGAUCAGCCACACUGGGACUGGGACACGGCCCAGACUCGUACGGGAGGCAGCAGUGGGGAAUCUUGCGCAAUGGGCGAAAGCCUGACGCAGCCAUGCCGCGUGAAUGAUGAAGGUCUUAGGAAUGUAAAAUUCUUUAAGCGGGGACGAUAAUGACGGUACCCGCAGAAGAAGCUCCGGCUAACUUCGUG